UGGGGAAUAUUGCACAAUGGGCGAAAGCCUGAUGCAGCGACGCCGCGUGGAGGAUGAAGGCCUUCGGGUUGUAAACUCCUUUUGCAGGGGAAGAUAAUGACGGUACCCUGCGAAUAAGCCACGGCUAACUCUGUGCCAGCAGCCGCGGUAAGACAGAGGUGGCGAGCGUUGUUCGGAAUUACUGGGCUUAAAGGGCGCGUAGGCGGUGAUAUAAGUCUGGGGUGGAAUCCUGCAGCUUAACUGUGGGACUGCCCUGGAAACUGUGUUGCUUGAGUCGGACAGGGGAAGACGGAAUUCCUGGUGUAGCGGUGAAAUGCGUAGAUAUCAGGAGGAAGGCCUGUGGUGAAGACGGUCUUCUGGGUCUUGACUGACGCUGGGGCGCGAAAGCGUGGGGAGCAAACAG
rnacentral:rRNA from 1 species